rnacentral:rRNA from 1 species
CUGGCUCAGGACGAACGCUGGCGGCAUGCCUCACACAUGCAAGUCGAACGGGGUAUAGACUAAAGCUUCCUUUGGACUAUACCUAGUGGCGGACGGGUGAGUAACGCGUGGGCAACCUACCCUACAGACCGGGAUACCAUCGGGAAACUGAUGUUAAUACCGGAUACACUUAGCUUAGGGCAUCCUAGGCUAAGGAAAGAACUAUCGCUGUAGGAUGGGCCUGC